UAGAGUACUUGCCUAACAUGAAAGGCCCUGGAUUCAAUCUCCAGCAUGACAAAAAAAUAAAAUAAAAAACAAGAGGGAAUAGCUGGACAUGUAAUCCCCACUGUUCAAGAGGCUAAGAGAGGAGGGUCUCAAGUUCAAGACUAGCCUGGACAACUUAGCAAGACCCUGUCUCAAACAAUAAAAAAUUGCUGGGGAUGUAGGUCCGUGGUAGAGCAGCUCUGGGUUCAAUCCUCAGUACUGGGGAGGGAAAGGGGAGGAAAAAUCUGCCCUAAAGAAUUAUAAACGUGAUUGCUUUAAGUAUGGGGUACCUGAAGUAUUUAAAUUCUAAAUAUUUGAUAAAUUGACAUGCCCUUAUUAUCUUUGGAAAAUUAACUAUUAAUUUGGCCUCUUAAUGCAGCUUGUCUUUUUGCCUCUCAGAAAACCUGACAAAAUUCUUAACCUUGCUGUAUUCAGCAUCCUGUACUUAACAUUUAACAAGUAUUAUUAUGCAUUAUAUGAUCUAAGCCCAUUAUUAUUUUAUCAUAUAAAAACAUCAUAUACAAUUAUAAAGUUGAAAACUUUGUCCUAAUUUGCAAAAAAAGACAUUUUUUUAAACAAUUUGGACUUACUGUGUAAAUGAGCUAUCUAUGUCCCAUAUAUGGUGAAAAGCUCUAUGGCAAGAAAGAAAGCAAAGGGAAGGGAAAACUCAUAGCUGAGGAUAAAGGUGUGAGGAUUUCAGGAACCAGAAUGGUCAUUAAUCAGGAUCUUACAGUUCUGAUGGAACAUACUAACAUAAUGACUGGGUUUAAAUCCUAGCUUUCUGCUACUGACUUAACCUCUCCAAGCCUUGGUUUUCUCCUUUAUGAGAUAAUAAUGCAAACAUCUUCUCAUAGGGCUGAAGUGAGUUUGAAGUUGAGAAAAAAAUAUGUAAUAUACUUAGUAUGGUUUCUGACACAUGAAAAUUUCUCAGUUCAUGAGCAGACAUGGUGGUGCUUACCUGUCUUCCCAGCAACUCAGGAAGCAGCCUCAGCAAUUUAGCAAAACCCUGUCUAAAAUUUAAAAGGGCUGAGGAUGUAGCUCAGGGGUCAAGCAAACCCGGGGUUCAAUCCAUAGUAAAAAAAAAACCCAUUUGUUUUAUAUGUGAUAAUUACUAUUAUUGCUAUUAUUUUAUUGAUGGACCUCUAUGAAGAGUUAUGAAAAAUAAUAAUCCUACAAAACAGCCCCAAAGAAAAGCAGAGAGAUAAUGCAGCUCGGGAGGAGGGAGGGGAAACUAGCCAAGCAUUAACCUUCCAGUAAAUCCUUUACCAAUGGGCCUUGAAGGAACGAGGCAAAUACUGAAUGUUGGGCUCUGGACUUAGACCUCCCCCCAUUGCAAAUUAGUCCUAAAAGGACACACAGUAAAUACUGAACUAUGGGCCCUGAAGGAAGGAGGCGAUCAAUCUCCUAUCUCUCUAAGUAACAAUGAAUCUCAACCUUUUAUAGCUGCCCUUCCGAGUUAAAAUUUUUAACCUACUUAACUAGCCCCUGACUUUCCUAAUGGUACACCCACAAGUUCCAAUGAUGAAACUAUCCUAAUUGUACCCUAUAAAACCAAAACCUCUUCUGUAAACGAUGGCCAUUUUCUACAGAAAAUGGGUCCCUAGAGUCCCCAAAGAA
rnacentral:lncRNA from 1 species